UACGUAGGGUGCGAGCGUGUCCGGAAUUAUUGGGCGUAAAGAGCUCGUAGGCGGUCUGUCGCGUCGGUCGUGAAAACUUGGGGCUUAACCCUGAGCUUGCGGUCGAUACGGGCAUGACUGGAGUUCGGUAGGGGAGACUGGAAUUCCUGGUGUAGCGGUGAAAUGCGCAGAUAUCAGGAGGAACACCGGUGGCGAAGGCGGGUCUCUGGGCCGGUACUGACACUGAGGAGCGAAAGCGUGGGGAGCGAACGGG
rnacentral:rRNA from 1 species